rnacentral:lncRNA from 1 species
AUGAAUUUAAUAACGCCCAACAGUUGGUUUGAGUUUGGUUCCUGCUUUGCAAUGUGUCUUCUUGUUCUCGCCUGUCUCGGCUUUCUAAGAGUAAGCACCAUUUCUCCCUGGGCAAGGCCUGGGGCCUCUUCCCCAGGACGAUGCAGCUGGCGGUCAGAGUCCCUUUCCCUUCUGAACUCAAGGCCCGGCUCCGCACUGGGACUGAUUGGCUUGCUAACCCGGCAGAUAGGGAUCGCGAUGUGGAUCGAUUCCAGCCUCGCCGCCGUGCUGGGGAGACGCCGGGACGAGCUCGGUGGGGUGCGGUGUGUGUCCUGGGGAGUCUCUCUCGCGAUUUGCCCAAGGGCACAGGAGGGUACGUCUCAGUCUCGGCCUCGAAGCUCAGCUCCUGGGGAGAGAGUUGUUUUCCCACCUCCUUUUCGAUCUCCUUCAGUCGCUGGGAUGCCUUGGAAGGGGCAGCGUUGCUCGGACCGCUUUUCUCUCUAUCAGUUUCGCAGACGCCCCCCCCCCCCGCCCCAACCCCAAGCCGCAGACACUGUGGAAGGACGCAUUUUGGGCGGGGGUUCAAUAUUCCUACUCGCCGGGAGGAGCAGGGGAGAGAUAGAACUACGUACCCCCAAAAGCAUCAGAGAGGGAGACAGAGGAGAGGGGACUAUGUGUAGGGCAUUGGACGAACUUGCCGUCGGAAGCGUAAGUUUCACUAAAGUGGAUUUGGUCACAGGCCAUCAAACUGAAGAACCCUGGUCUAAUCGCUUCCCUUCUUUGUGCCUCAGUUUUCUACUCAUAAAAUAAAGGAAUUGGACUAGAUCGUCUCUAAGUGCUGUUGCAUUCUUACAUUCUCUGGGUCUAUCUCGUGCCUAUUUUGUAGCCCAAGUAAAAAAAGAAGCGGAGGCAUCUUCCCCAAGAGACUUUCAAAGGACAUGGCUUCUGGGUGUCUCCACCUUUAUCUAGACUUCUUGCCCUCUGCCUCUCGGAUCCCCGGCCCAGUCGGCAGGGCUAGAACUCCUGGGCAUCAUGGAAGCUGGAGAGAGACUGAGAAAGGGACCGGGAAGGAGAGGUGGCUCCCAUUGGAAAAAAAAAAAAAGUUCUCCUCUGGGGACAGCACGUAAAGAACAAGUUGAAUGGAACUGUACGGCACGCGGAGGAUAGAUUACCUGUGCGCCAGUCUCAAGUUAGAAGAAUGACCAGAAACUGACCCAGAAGCCCGACUCGCACGCGGAGCUCUGACCUCCGCAGGGUCUUUCACAGAAGUUUGGCAUUAGCUGUAAGGAGCCGUUCUUUCCCCCCGCCCCCACCCCCGAGCCAGAGGGGCUCCCAGGUGGGGUUCGAGUCCCCGGAUUUCAGGGCGCUUACUUUAUAGAAGUGGCACCCUUAUUCAGGGUCCAUUUUCACCCAAACUGUGAGUUUCUAUUUUCCCCAAUAAAUCCAUUUCCCAAUCUGGCUCUGUUUAGCGU